AUCUUGAAGUGUCGAUUCCCUUCCUCCCUCUUCCUCUUUGUCGUCAAGACCUCACCGCUGCUCCUCCCUCUCCCUAUUCUCAUCCUCUUCUCUCCCUCUCGCGAUUCUCCCUACCCGAUCGCCGGCCACCCGUGAGUUCACCGCCGAUGGAGGUCUUCUCCUCUACCGUCCCUCACCCCCGCCACUCGAUUCCACUUCAUCGCUGGCACAAAUUCAUCGCCGCUCUUCCCCGGAGUCGCUUCAAUCAAAGCCACCAGCCACAGUAAGCUCCCAAUCUGCCAUCGCCGACAGCCAAGCGGUGUUCUUUGUACCCUCGACGCUGAUACCUCACGACCUCACCGCAUGUUGACACCACUGACGCUGACCAUCCACAUGAGAACCGCUGGUAAUGCAGCAACCAUUCCCGGCAAAGGACGCGAUGCUAUUAACCGAUGAGGCCGCCUGAUCUUCCUUUUCCCUGAUCUUCGCGAGCAAGACAUCAGUGAGCUUCCCUUUUUCUAAGCCUUCUUCCUCUAGUGUCACCAUUGAUCUUUCUCCAUCCACGAGCAAGAGGUUCUGUUUUUCCCUCUUCUUGCGAAUCCUAGGCGAAUCUACUCGCUAUGCUGCCAAUCACCGGAGGAUCUGUUGAGCUAGCCGAAUCGCAGGUUCUGCUUAGCCACCUAUUCGCCUCUCAUCUAGAUUUGUUCUCAAUGCAAGUAGCCAGACAGGAUUACCUCAGCUAGUCGGGUCACAACACUCAAUUCGUGAUCAAUCAUGGCUCUUCACUGCCCUGUACACGAUGUCGCUCAUCCGGCCAUCGCCAUGAGAUAUUGCUGAAGAAGACGGGGAGAUUGUUCCUCAUCCUCACCAGUGCUGCCUCGCUACCACAUUUGAGGAUUAGGAGUCAGCGGAUAUACUAAGCUCCGACCAUGUCUUUUGGCAACUCCUUUAUGCCAGCCAUCCCUCUAACAAUGAGCUGCCUUCUUUCUCACUGUCACCACCUGAGGGAUUUUGCAUUGUCGUCAAAGCAUAAGAAACGGAGCAGGUAGAUGAAUUAUAGAUGCUUGGAGAAUCCCGACUGACGAUCCCACUUCCCACAUCAUAUCUGAGGACAUUCAUCGGUUUUAUUUCCGUUUUAUUUGUAUUUUUAGUAUUCAGCGGUUUUAGUAUUGUAUGAAUUUGUCUGUGUUUGGAGUUUGAUUCAUGGUGUUUUGCUAUCGUGAUCUUGUGGUUGUG